CCCCCGUCCGUGCCAGACCCUGACAGACUUCAUUCUGUUUUCUCAUUUCAUCCUUACAAUUCCACAGGCUACAUCCCAUUAUCAUCACCAUUUUACAGGAGAGGAAAGUGAGGCUCACAUUAGUCAGCUUGCCCAAGAUCCAUCACAGAGUCAGCAAUGAGGAUUCAAAGCAGGUUGUCAGGUCUCAGAGCUUGCCUGUCUAAUGUCGGAUGUGUUGUGUGAAGCUUGUGCCUCCUGGAUGGGUCUAAAGCCCCUUGCAAUGCCCAGCACGCACUGGUGCUGUUGGAAAGUCAAGAGAAACCUGCUCAGAGGCAGCAUGAGUCCUAUCCCUUCAGGAGGCCCCGGGUGAUGGUCACAGCCCAGCUUCAGAGCCCACAGCGCAGACUUGAAUUGCAAUGCUCUCAUUUAUCCUCCACAGGACGCUUGUCUCCUCUGCCUUGAUUCCUGUGUCUGAACAAUGGAGGCAGCAAUGACACACAGGCAUUGGGCCCUGCAGUAUUUCAUUUACUCCUAGCUGUAGCUCAGCAGGGUGCAAUGAUUGUUGUCAGUUCUACAGAAGGGAAACUGAGGCUAGAUAGUCAGCGGCCCAGCAGGGCUUUAAUCAGGCAAUAGAAAGUGAUGUCGCAACAGAAUCCAUACACAGCUGUUAAGUCUGACGGGGAACAGGGCCUAGGAGGUGAAGCUUAGGGUUGGAACUGGCACUGGGAAACUCAAGUUGCCAUGUAGUCUUACUGGGGUUCUAUAACCUAUGACCUCAUUUAUCAUUGGCCCUUCCUUACUCUGUGGAUAUAAAGAUUCCACUGGGGACCCAGAGUGUUCGUUCAUUCACCAGUCAAGAUUAAUGUCAAAGAAGGGCUUGGUGAGACAGCACGUUGUUGUUCAGGAGGGGAGCUAGCUCUGGACCAAGGAGUACCUGAGUGACAAGAUGUAAACAACCCUGCCUAGCCAAACACUUGACCAGGGACAUAG
rnacentral:lncRNA from 1 species